CUCCUUUGAUCCAGAAGAGGAGAUAAAACAAUUCCCUGAGCGGCGUGGUGGCUGCAGGGACCUCAAACAGACCUGUCCUGUUGGUCUUCCAAUCUUUGGCAGACGGUUCUUACUCUCCUUUAGAAAUGCAAUUUCAAAAUUGAGCAGUCUUUUGAUAUUUGAAGAGUUUGGGCUUCUGGUUUGGGAAUUUUUGCUCUGAAUUUCUUUUUAUUAUUUUUCAUAAUGCCAAAUUUUAUGUGUCUUCCACAGAAGAUUUAGAAGCACAAAGUGCAGCUGGUGCUGCUGUGGCCAGCAAGGAUCAGUGGGAGGAAAGGAUGUGUUCCUCACACUGCUUGGCUUUUGGGGACACCAGCUGUGCCCCCCUUCUGUGCCCUUUGGGGACAAAAUUGGAUUGCCCAGAUGAAGUUAAACCCCAGGAUUCAGCAAACCAGGAUGAAUCCCCAGGAGCAAACCCUGCUCCAUGGCUACCAGCCCAUUGAAGGACACCCACAGACUCACUUCAAACUCAAAGAACAACUUUUAACAAACGCUCCACCAAAAACUGGCUGAUACUUGCUUGGCUCCCAAUCCUCCCUAAGCUGUUUCCCUGUUGCUAAUCUCUCCCAGGAACCAUUAAUAAAUCUUCCCUGGUUUGCAACGUUAA